ACUCAAAUGAAUUGACGGGGACUUGCACAAGCAGUGGAUUAUGUGGUUUAAUUCGAUGGUAAACGAAGAACCUUACCAGGGCUAGAAAUCCAUACGUAAGCCUUAGGAAACUUUGGCCCCCGCAAGGCGUAUGGACAGGUGAUGCAUGGCCGUCGUCAGUUCGUGGUUUGAAUUGUACCCUUAAGUGGGCUAACGAACGCAACCCUCGUUGUGUGUUACAAGUGUCACACGAGACCGCCCCGACCUUAGAAAAUUUCGCAGAAUUUAUUUUGAAGUUUUUUGAGGUCGGGGAGGAAGGAGAGGAUGACGCCAGGUCCGCAUGUUCUUAGAUGCCCUGGGCUACACACAUAAUACAAUGGCUACUACAAUGCGUUGCGACGAGGCGACUCUGAGCUAAUCGUACAAAAGUGGCCUCAGUUCGGAUUGAAGUCUGCAACUCGACUUCAUGAAGCUGGAAUUGCUAGUAAUCGCAGGUCAGCUAAACUGCGGUGAAUACGUUCUCAAGUCUUGUACACACCGCCCGU
rnacentral:rRNA from 1 species